GCCGGCUUAGCUCAGUUGGUAGAGCACGUGAUUUGUAAUCACGGGGUCACAGGUUCGAGUCCUGUAGCCGGCACCA
rnacentral:tRNA from 1 species